AUAGAACGCUGGCGGCAGGCCUAACACAUGCAAGUCGAACGAGUGGCGGACGGGUGAGUAAUGUCUGGGAAACUGCCUGAUGGAGGGGGAUAACUACUGGAAACGGUAGCUAAUACCGCAUACCAUCAGAUGUGCCCAGAUGGGUUUAGCUUGUUGGUGGUGUAACGGCUCACCAAGGCGACGAUCCCUAGCUGGUCUGAGAGGAUGCCCAUCUCCACUGGAAUUGUGGCACGUUCCAGACUCCUACGGGAGGGAGCAGUGGGGAAUGUUGCAGAAUGGGCGAAAGCCUGAUGCAGCCAUGGCGAGUGUAUGAUGAAGGCCGUCGGGUUAUAAAGUACUUUCAGCGGGGAGGCGUUACCCGCAGAAGAAGCGCCGGCUAACUCCGAGCCAGCAGCCGCGGUAAUAC
rnacentral:rRNA from 1 species